GACCCAUACUGGUCUGAGGGCUCUAUACUGGUCCCAAGUGGUCUAUACUGGUCCUGGGUGAUCCAUACUGGUCCUUAGGGCUCUGUACUGGUCCUGAGCGACCUAUACUGGUCGUGACAGCUCUGUACUGGUCCCAGGUGACCUAUACUGGUCCUGGGAGGCUUAUACUGGUCCUGGGUGACCCAUACUGGUCCUGAGGGCUCUAUACUGGUCCCAGGUGACCUAUACUGAUCCCAAGACCCUUAUACUGGUCCUGAGAACCCUCUACUGGUCCUGAGUGACCCAUACUGGUCCUGAGGACUCUGUACUGGUCCCAGGAGCCUUAUACUGGUCCUGGGUGACCCAUACUGGUCUGAGGGCUCUGUACUGGUCCUGAGGGACCUAUACUGGUCAUGACAGCUCUAUACUGGUCCCAGGUGACCUAUACUGGUCCUGGGAGGCUCUAUACUGGUCCUGAGAACUCUCUACUGGUCCUGAGGGCUCUGUA
rnacentral:lncRNA from 1 species